AACGAACGCUGGCGGCAGGCCUAACACAUGCAAGUCGAACGCUCUAGCAAUAGGGAGUGGCGCACGGGUGAGUAACGCGUAGGAAUCUACCCAUUAGCCUGGGAUAACAGCGGGAAACUGCUGCUAAUACCGGAUACGCCCCUUCGGGGGGAAAGGUUUACUACUAAUGGAUGAGCCUGCGUUAGAUUAGCUAGUUGGUGAGGUAAGGGCUCACCACGGCUCCGAUCUAUAGCCGGUCUGAGAGGACGAUCGGCCACACUGGGACUGAGACACGGCCCAGACUCCUGCGGGAGGCAUCAGUGGGGAAUAUUGGGCAAUGGGCGCAAGCCUGAACCAGCCAUGCCGCGUGAGUGAUGAAGGCCUUAGGGUUGUAAAGCUCUUUUAGUAGUGAAGAUGAUGACAGUAGCUACAGAAAAAGCCCCGGCUAACUUCGUGCCAGCCGCCGCCGUAAUAC
rnacentral:rRNA from 1 species